AUCUGCUGCCUUAGAUUAGUGGCGAACGGGUGAGUAACACGUGAGUAACCUGCCCUUGACUCUGGGAUAAGCCUGGGAAACCGGGUCUAAUACUGGAUACGACCUUCUGGCGCAUGCCAUGUUGGUGGAAAGCUUUUGUGGUUUUGGAUGGACUCGCGGCCUAUCAGCUUGUUGGUGGGGUAAUGGCCUACCAAGGCGACGACGGGUAGCCGGCCUGAGAGGGUGACCGGCCACACUGGGACUGAGACACGGCCCAGACUCCUACGGGAGGCAGCAGUGGGGAAUAUUGCACAAUGGGCGCAAGCCUGAUGCAGCGACGCCGCGUGAGGGAUGAAGGCCUUCGGGUUGUAAACCUCUUUCAGUAGGGAAGAAGUCGCUCCUUCGGGGGUGGUGACGGUACCUGCAGAAGAAGCGCCGGCUAACUACGUGCCAGCAGCCGCGGUAAUACGUAGGGCGCAAGCGUUAUCCGGAAUUAUUGGGCGUAAAGAGCUCGUAGGCGGUUUGUCGCGUCUGCCGUGAAAGUCCGGGGCUUAACCCCGGAUCUGCGGUGGGUACGGGCAGACUAGAGUGCAGUAGGGGAGACUGGAAUUCCUGGUGUAGCGGUGAAAUGCGCAGAUAUCAGGAGGAACACCGAUGGCGAAGGCAGGUCUCUGGGCUGUAACUGACGCUGAGGAGCGAAAGCAUGGGGAGCGAACAGGAUUAGAUACCCUGGUAGUCCAUGCCGUAAACGUUGGGGCACUAGGUGUGGGGGACAUUCCACGUUUUCCGCGCCGUAGCUAACGCAUUAAGU
rnacentral:rRNA from 1 species